rnacentral:ncRNA from 12 species
CUCUCCAAAGUCAGAUGCUAUAAUCUCAAGGGAUUUUAGCCAGCACAGAGAGGAUAAAGGGGUCUGCUUCCGUGCCGACAAGGCAAAAAACAAGAUGAAGCUGUGCCUGCCGUUAGUAGAUCCCGAACGCCGCAAAGCACAG